rnacentral:tRNA from 5 species
GCCCAGGUGGCGGAAUUUGGUAUACGCGCCAGCUUGAGGUGCUGGUUCCCGCAAGGGAUUGGAGGUUCGAGUCCUCUCCUGGGCA